GAUGAACGCUGGCGGCGUGCCUAAUACAUGCAAGUCGAGCGAACAGACGAGGAGCUUGCUCCUCUGACGUUAGCGGCGGACGGGUGAGUAACACGUGGAUAACCUACCUAUAAGACUGGGAUAACUUCGGGAAACCGGAGCUAAUACCGGAUAAUAUAUUGAACCGCAUGGUUCAAUAGUGAAAGACGGUUUUGUUGUCACUUAUAGAUGGAUCCGCGCCGCAUUAGCUAGUUGGUAAGGUAACGGCUUACCAAGGCAACGAUGCGUAGCCGACCUGAGAGGGUGAUCGGCCACACUGGAACUGAGACACGGUCCAGACUCCUACGGGAGGCAGCAGUAGGGAAUCUUCCGCAAUGGGCGAAAGCUUGACGGAGCAACGCCGCGUGAGUGAUGAAGGUCUUCGGAUCGUAAAACUCUGUUAUUAGGGAAGAACAAAUGUGUAAGUAACUAUGCACGUCUUGACGGUACCUAAUCAGAAAGCCACGGCUAACUACGUG
rnacentral:rRNA from 1 species